UACGGGGGGGGCAAGCGUUGUUCGGAAUUACUGGGCGUAAAGGGCGCGUAGGCGGUUUGCUAAGUUGAAUGUGAAAACUCUGGGCUUAACCCAGAGCCUGCAUUCAAUACUGGCAGGCUGGAGUUCUGGAGGGGAUAGCGGAAUUCCUGGUGUAGCGGUGAAAUGCGUAGAUGUCAGGAGGAACACCGGUGGCGAAGGCGGCUAUCUGGACAGAAACUGACGCUGAGGCGCGAAAGCUAGGGGAGCAAACAGG
rnacentral:rRNA from 1 species